rnacentral:rRNA from 1 species
UACGUAGGGUGCGAGCGUUAAUCGGAAUUACUGGGCGUAAAGCGUGCGCAGGCGGUGAUGUAAGACAGUUGUGAAAUCCCCGGGCUCAACCUGGGAACUGCAUCUGUGACUGCAUCGCUGGAGUGCGGCAGAGGGGGAUGGAAUUCCGCGUGUAGCAGUGAAAUGCGUAGAUAUGCGGAGGAACACCGAUGGCGAAGGCAAUCCCCUGGGCCGUAACUGACGCUCGAGGAGCGAAAGCAUGGGGAGCGAACAGG